UUAUAAGAAACUCUUUGGCAGUGGAACAACACUUGUUGUCACAGAUAAACAACUUGAUGCAGAUGUUUCCCCCAAGCCCACUAUUUUUCUUCCUUCGAUUGCUGAAACAAAACUCCAGAAGGCUGGAACAUACCUUUGUCUUCUUGAGAAAUUUUUCCCAGAUAUUAUUAAGAUACAUUGGCAAGAAAAGAAGAGCAACACGAUUCUGGGAUCCCAGGAGGGGAACACCAUGAAGACUAACGACACAUACAUGAAAUUUAGCUGGUUAACGGUGCCAGAAGAGUCACUGGACAAAGAACACAGAUGUAUCGUCAGACAUGAGAAUAAUAAAAACGGAAUUGAUCAAGAAAU
rnacentral:lncRNA from 1 species